AAACGCGGAAGUACUCUUCGGCUUCAAAUCCGUAUACUGGCGGAAGGCGGUAUCAAGUUGUCCACAUACAGUCUAUGGUUGUAUUUGAACAAAACGCAAAAGUGAGUUUGUUCAGUUUUAUUUUAGCAAAACGCAAAAGUGAGUUUCAUCCACUGCCAUGGUGAAAAAGUGUGAGAAUAAUUUGCCGGAACUAACUCUAGAUCCACAUCCAAGUGCCAUGGCUACCAGGGUUGUGAAGGUAAGCUUGCUCAGUCUGGCUUGUGUUGUUUGUUGGUUGUUUGCAGUUACAUAAUGUGGUUUGAUUUAAAUAUAUUGGUUGUUGGUUGAAUAUAUAUAUUCAUAAUAUAGUAUAAAUAUAGUUGGUUUGAACCAACUAUAUUCAACUGCUUAUAUAGGAAUGAUUUGGAAUUGAAAGACCAAGAGUUAGCUUGUGUUGUAGUAUUUGGCAACAUAUGGAGCAACAAAUGGGACUUAGCUAGGGCUAGUUUAAUACACUGUGUUAUAGCUUCAUUAGUCACUGACUUGGAAAGCUGUUCCCCAAACGACAGACAUCGAUAGGUUUUAACUGUUAUUUUUAAGUCUUUCCAUUCAAUGAAAACACCUCUCUUUGCAUUUAUGUGAAAGACUGUUGGCCUGUUGCCUGGAUAAAGCCCAUUUGACCCUCCAAGAGGAUCAUAUAAAUGCAGUUUCAUCAAACCUGAGAGUUAACUGCAAAGAUCUGUACAAUGCAUGUUACAUUUUUAGCUUUAUUUGUGGUAACAUGUCAUGAAACCCCAUCUUACAUGUAAUGGUAAUGUUAUAUGAAAAUCCUCUAUAAAUAUGUAGGAUUAUUUUCACAUUUGUUUGUUUUUGUUGUGAGUAAGAUUAAAUGUGUUUUUGGUUUGGAGACACAUCUUAGCUCUUUUCCGACUUCAAGUACAAACUGUUUAAACCUCAGGCAGCACAAUGAAAAUAUUCUUUGACCAUCCUUACCCCAACACAGUAAACCAGAAGAUAUCCAUCAUUGUUGUGUGGAUCGUUGAGGCUGUUAGGUUUGGCAAGACUUGUCAAGUGUUGAAGGACAUACUGUCUGUAUUAAGCAAGUGCUAUGUUGUUUCUAGACGGAUAGUUUUCCUAACAUUUUCAGCUGUUUGCUGCAGCAGUUUAUUGGCUUUCCAUUUUGCAGCUUCACAUGAUAUAGUAGUACAGGCAUAAUGUGUUUUCCAUAUGGAUUAUUUUGUCAAUCUCAAGUUUUCAUGAUGAAUGACAUGGAAAUUGCUUAUCCCCUUUGGUGUGUUGUGUUUGAAAGAAAAAGAUCACUCCUGGGAUUAGCAAAUGCUUGUAUGAUCCUUUGGAACAUCAUGUAUUUAAUGUUGUUCCAAGGGCUUGUUCAGGAAAUCCAGAAGGAUUGCAUACUGGAUGAAUAAACAGGAAUCCUGUUGUGAACUCUGGCUGAUUGUAAAGCUUUUCUGUCAAGUCCCUGUAAAAGUCACAGAAGGUGUGGGAGUCUCCAGGAUAUUCUGCACUUUAAGGUUCAAUUGUGAGACCUCGGCAUGGGAGAACGGUAGUCUGAUCUGCCUUGAACCUACCUCGCUUGUCUUUCUUACUGACUAAUUCCUGGUUCCUCUCCCUGACCAUGAUGCGGUCACUGUUCCAGACACAUGGGGAUCUUUCAAAGUCUGGGCUGUAUGUUUGUUACACAUUGGCUGGCCUUGUGGUGGGUGAGGCUUAGACCUGGGUCAGAUGACUCAUCCAGACUCAGUACUUGUCUCCUGUCUCAGGGAAUCUUUGUGCUUUCAUCGGUCUUAUUGUUGUUUUAAAUUCAAGGAAGUAAUCUUGGGUUGGCGGCACACUGUGUUUUGGAAAUGUUGGUGUUCAUUUGUGCAGAUGUUCCUUUUUCUGAUGUGAAAUUGUUCAAAAAAUUAUGGAGUGCGCAAAAGAAAGCAAUUAAUUUGACCGUAUUGUCAAACCACUUUGUGUCUAAUAUUUGUCUUAUUUAUGAGUCUGCUCUUUUAUGCUAUCAAUAACAUCUUGAAGUGAAGUUAAUUUAUUGAGCUGACACGUGGCUUUUUACUCAAGCUGUGAUUUAUGACACAAUCUCAGGCAGCUUUAUUCACAUUGUUUGCCAGCAUAUUCCUCUACUUCUGCCAGCUUAUCAAAGCUUUCUUCCUGAGCAUGUUGCAUGCAGUAUGAUGGCUGCAUAACAUGAGUCUGUGGAGCUUCAAUCCUAACUGUCAGUUGUCAUGCCAAAUAUCCAGUUGAUAGCUGAUUUCUUUCGUGAAAGUUAUCUCAAUCCAGAUGCUGAGCAGACCAUGUGUUUACUCAUCUGUGCGAGUUGCCUUCAAACAUGAUCAGAGAACACUACACUGACAUCAGUUCUCCCACCAGAUCUAAUUGGAUUCAUAUUCCAGUGAAAGCAUUGUCUUGUCACUGCCUCCCUUUGAUGGAGAGAGGAUAAACAUAUCUGUGGGAUGUUAGAUGGAGCGAUAGAGAGGGUGAAACGAUAAUAAAAUGUCAGGUUUGGUUUGCAAGAUUACACAAAGUGAUGUUGGCGUAUACAAAGACAGCGGGUAUGUAAUGAAGGUUGAUUAUCUUUGCUAAACUUUCAACAUCAGCUAAUGAGUUCAGACACAUUUGUAGAUCGAGUAUGUGUCCCCUUAACAAACCGCAGUGCCACCAUAAAAAUGAUUGGUAAUAGAGGAGUAUUAUAUAUAUAAAACUUUGUUUUAUAUAGUUACUUGUAUACCAUUUAAUUACUUCUAUCUUUUCUGUUUUAAGUUCCUUGACAGUGGUAAUACAGCUGUAAAAGAAAAGGUUUUUACUUAUUUUAACAUGUGAAUACAGUACAGGCCAAAAGUUUGGACACAACCUCUCAUUCAAUGCAUUUUCUUUAUUCUCAUUACUAUUUAAAUUGUAGAUUCUCAGUGAAGGAAUCAAAACUACGAAUGAACACAUGUGGAAUCAUGUGCUUAAGAAAAAAGUGUGAAAUAAUUGAAAACAUGUUUUAUAUUUUAGAUUCCUCAAAGUAGCCACCCUUUGCUUUCUUGAUAGCGCUGCAAACUUUUGUUGUUCUCUCAAUGAGCUUCAUGAGGUAGUCACCUGAAAUGGUUUUUACUUCACAGAUGUGUCUUGUCAGAGUUUCUUCGUGACUAAGUACUUCUGUCAUCAAGAGCAAAGGGUGGCUACUUUAAAGAGACUAGAAUAUAAAACAUGUUUUGAGUUAUUUCACACUUUUUAUAUAAGUCAGUGAUAAUCUACAAUGUAAAUAGUCAUAAUUUUUUUUUUCAAAAGACAUUGAAUAAGAGGGUGUGUCCAAACUUUUGGCCUGUACUGUAUGUUUUUUUGGGAAUGCAAUAAACCCAGAUGGUAAUUUUUAAAUCUUGAAGUGACUUAAUACCCUUCCCUUCUUACCAUGUGACUUUUCAAACAGUUCAAAAAAUCAUUAUUUUAAAGUUCCAGAUGAUCUGCUCUCAAACUUGUAAAACAAUAACAGCAUAACCCGCUGAAAUAACAUUAAAUCAUUUGACUUGGCAGUAAAUGCACUUUUGGUUGUGUCUUUGUUUCAUCAGCACUCCAGGGGCAACAUUCAGGAAAAGGGUGUAGAAGGAUUGACUGAUGAUGAUGCUGUAACUGUCCAGCAGGGAGUGGAGGCUCUGUGUAAUCGCCUCCGUUCAAUAACCCUUGCGUGGAUCCCUGACCACAAGAGACAGGAAAGUGUCUGUGCUGAUGCCAGAGGACGCUUGACUGCUGUAAGCUGCUUCACACCUGCUGCUGCUUCUUCUCUUUUUUUUUCUCGUCUUUAGUCAGUCUGUAAUGUAUCCUUUUUCUGCCCCUCUUUUCACACAUACUUGUCAUCAGCCACUGGCUUAUAAAGCAAAGUAGAAAUGGUAAAAGACAGAUUAAUAGCUGCAGUGUGAGUAACAUUGGAAGCGUUUGUUUCUCAUCUUUCCCAAUCACCAAGAUGACGUUGUUUCCCCUCUUCAAAGCGUCACGCUGCCAGAACUCUGAUCUCAGUUUCCCAGCAAUGUGAUGCAAAAUAAAAUUGUUCAGGGGUCACGAUACUUUAGCUUCAGCCAGGUUGAACCAACCGGAACAUCAACAAGUCUUAUUUGUUGUUGUGACGGAGUUCUGUCAUGAUUAAGACAAAGUAGAUGAAUUCCCCUGCAUUUCUUCUCUUAACAGCACAGUUGGAGUGAAAGCCUGUCUGUGAGUCAUCGCACUGUUUUUGAGCUGGCUGUACAAAACGCUUUCCAUUUUCUGGGUUUCAUUUUUAUGACUCUGAACAAAGACUGAUUGGAUCUCUAUACCAGCUGUCCCUGAAAGGUUUUCAUGUUUUUCUGCAAUAUAUACCCAGAGGACAGAUGAAAUUUCUCCUUUUAUUCAGGGCCCUCUCAAUCAAAAGGUUGUAAAUGUAGUGUUUAUCCAGAUUGAGUACCUCUGAAACCUCAGCAGGUUGUUCGCACCACAGGAAUAAAGUUGAAUCAAAAGAAAAUGUUGUGUCAGAAGGUUACACAGCAGGUAGGCUACCUCAACUGCCGACUAUAAAACUUUUUUUUCCCUUCCUUUGUCUGUUAAGUAGGACCACAAAGAUCUGGAUUGGGUAAAACAAUGCUGUCUUUUAAUAUAGAGAUGUUAGCUGUAGCUUACACUGAAUUUAAAGUAUACGAUCUCACUGUGGAAGCAUGUGGGGGGAACAUGAAUAUAAAACAGAUUUAUUGGAUAUGAGAGGAGCUUUGUAUUUGGUAUCCAAAGCAGCUAUGUGCUUAAACUUAAGAAACAUUAUCAGGACUGUUUGGAGGGUGAGUUUUCAUGGAAAGCAUAUUUAUCAUUAUUUAAUAGUUUUUCCAUGACUGUGGAGCUGUUUCAACAUUUCACUGAAUGUUUUAUUUGUUGUUAAAACACAUCUUACUGUGUAGGAACAACAAUUCUGUAACAACUUGUUGCUAUUUCAACUUUGAAUCCAUUUAGAAAGCCAGCAUAAGCGACAGAGUCUCCUUUGCUGCUUACAUUGGUGUGAAUUUUCUCUAAACUUUAUCCUGAUCAUCUCAUGGAAGACUGUAAUCUCAACAGGUGCUGCACCCCUGCGGUAGAUUCACUUGCGGGAAACACUCCGACCGACCCUUAAUCCUCUUCCCACCAGAAAAGAAUCAACAGAGAAGUGUUUUUCUGCAGCUUUUGUUGUGUUUUUCUUUGCUGCUGUGCAAGGACGUUUGUACUGAUGUUGGUAGAUAAGAUAAGAGAUAAGAUAUUCCUUUAUUAGUGCCACAGGGGUAAAUUCCAGUUUACAGCAGCAUAAAUACAAGUACAAAUAGAGAAAUUAAAGGAUAAGAAAAACUUAAAGUGAAAAAAGAUGUAUACAUGAGCCUUCUUAAAAUUACUAUAUGUAUACAGCAUAUACAGAGAUGGUCAGGGUAUCUGACGUAUCAUUUAUUGCAAAUAUUUCAUGUGGAAAUUUUUAAGAGUAGGACUGUUAAAGAUGUAGACUUACCUCCUGCUCUGAUUUCAGGCAUUAAAAACUACAUAAAAACCUUCUAUCUAGUUUAUAUUAAGAACUAAAAAGGCAGUUCUCUUAUAAACUUUUUUUUAUCUUAAAAAAAACUGUUCCAUGAUCACACCCAUAAAGCUUUCUUUUCUGAUUUGUUCCUGUUCUAAUUUCUAAUAGUUUCCUUUAACCCUCGGUAAAUUGCCUUAGACAUUUAUGUCACACUUGGGCUUAUCUCAAAGUCAGUAUAUGAAGGAAGAAAAAUCAUCAGAAACCAUGCAGUUUUAAAGCUCCUCCAUGAUUUCAGUGACACUUUAGAUCAUGGUUGGAUUAAGCACGCUUAAGUUUCAGAGUCUUUUAAGUCGGGGCCAAACAAUGAAGGGUUUGGGCUGAUGCUUGUUUCUGGUACAUUUCCACGGAGCUGAGAAGUCUGUGGGAUUUGCCAACAGUUUUUGAGGGAGAAAAGAAAGAGGAGCAAGUGAAGAGCAAGGGAGAAGGUCAGAAUGACUGUUGAAACAAUGUAUCUUGUAAGCAGCUGUGGUCUCUCUUUUCCUCAGGUCACACAGGGAGAUUCAGGGAGUGAAGACAUAUGAGGAGGAUGAACUGUGGCAGCCCUCCACAAGAGGGCACAGAUGAUGUGGCUGAAGAGGGAUAACUUGGUCUCCUGGAGUGUUUCUGAUGACAUGGAUGUUUGGAAGGACCCUUCAUGUUAAGUCUUGGUUUGGCUCUGGUCAUUAGCUUCCUGUUAUUAUAAAUCACAUGUCUAGAUUCUACUGAAGGACUGAAAAAUCUCAGGCUACAGAGUAUUUCAGAAGAAAGGUCACUGAAAAACACAUUUUUUAGCUUUUGACUGGAAUGAAUUCAGGUCAACUUUUUGACAUCUGCUUUGAGAAUUAAAUUGUAGCUCAUUUUUUAAAAGCAACAAGUCAAGGGUGAAGUCCUUUUGUUUUCUAAUUUUUGUCCAGACGUG
rnacentral:lncRNA from 1 species